rnacentral:rRNA from 1 species
CGGGUGACGAGUGGCGGACGGGUGAGUAAUGUCUGGGGAUCUGCCCGAUAGAGGGGGAUAACCACUGGAAACGGUGGCUAAUACCGCAUAACGUCGCAAGACCAAAGAGGGGGACCUUCGGGCCUCUCACUAUCGGAUGAACCCAGAUGGGAUUAGCUAGUAGGCGGGGUAACGGCCCACCUAGGCGACGAUCCCUAGCUGGUCUGAGAGGAUGACCAGCCACACUGGAACUGAGACACGGUCCAGACUCCUACGGGAGGCAGCAGUGGGGAAUAUUGCACAAUGGGCGCAAGCCUGAUGCAGCCAUGCCGCGUGUAUGAAGAAGGCCUUCGGGUUGUAAAGUACUUUCAGCGGGGAGGAAGGCG